rnacentral:snRNA from 1 species
GGAUGAGAGGGUGAUCUAGCUGUGACGUCUGUCACCACAUUGAUCACCAGGGUUGAUUCCACUAAUCUGGCCAGCUAGGGGGGGUGUCUCCUUCCUCCCUCGCCUCUGCUCCACGCGCGUGCCUCCCAAAGCUGCAUGCUUAGUCCAGGAUGAUGAUCUUCCAGAUAGAGGCAUAGCAGUAACUGCGCUCCCCUGCUAGAGCCUCCAAACAAGCUCUCAACGUCCAUUUGUAGGAGAUCACAGGGUAGUCAAGCUUCCAAGACUCCAGACACAUCCAAAUGAGGUGCUGCAUGUGGCAGUUUGCCUUUCUAU